rnacentral:rRNA from 1 species
GUUGUAUGGUUAAGURAYUAAGCGUAGACGGUGGAUGCCUUGGCAGUCAGAGGCGAUGAAGGACGUAUUAACUUGCGAAAAGCCCAGAUAAGGCAGUAAAAGCCAUUUGAAUCUGGGAUAUCCGAAUGGGGAAACCCACCUGCAUAAGCAGGUAUCUUAGCGUGAAUACAUAGCGCUAAGAGGCGAACUCGGGGAACUGAAACAUCUAAGUACCCGGAAAACGAGUAGGACGGGACACGUGAUAUCUUGUCUGAACAUGGGGGGACCAUCCUCCAAGGCUAAAUACUCCUGACUGACCGAUAGUGAACCAGUACCGUGAGGGAAAGGCGAAAAGAACCCCUGUGAGGGGAGUGAAAUAGAACCUGAAACCGUCUACGUACAAGCAGUGGGAGCCUCCUUUGUGGGGUGACCGCGUACCUUUUGUAUAAUGGGUCAGCGACUUAAUGUUAGUAGCAAGGUUAACCGCAUAGGGGAGCCGUAGGGAAACCGAGUCUUAACUGGGCGUGUAGUUGCUAGCAUUAGACCCGAAACCGAGUGAUCUAGCCAUGGGCAGGUUGAAGGUUGAGUAACAUCAACUGGAGGACCGAACUCACUAACGUUGAAAAGUUAGGAGAUGACCUGUGGCUAGGGGUGAAAGGCCAAUCAAACUCGGAGAUAGCUGGUUCUCCCCGAAAGCUAUUUAGGUAGCGCCUCGGACGAACACUACUGGGGGUAGAGCACUGUUAAGGCUAGGGGGUCAUCCCGACUUACCAACCCUUUGCAAACUCCGAAUACCAGUAAGUGCUAUCCGGGAGACACACGGCGGGUGCUAACGUCCGUCGUGGAGAGGGAAACAACCCAGACCGCCAGCUAAGGUCCCAAAGUUAUCGCUAAGUGGGAAACGAUGUGGGAAGGCUCAGACAGCCAGGAUGUUGGCUUAGAAGCAGCCAUCAUUUAAAGAAAGCGUAAUAGCUCACUGGUCGAGUCGGCCUGCGCGGAAGAUGUAACGGGGCUAAGCGAUACACCGAAGCUGCGGCAAUGCGAUUUAUCGUAUUGGGUAGGGGAGCGUUGUGUAAGCCGUUGAAGGUGUGCUGAGAGGCAUGCUGGAGGUAUCACAAGUGCGAAUGCUGACAUGAGUAACGAUAAUGGGGGUGAAAAACCUCCACGCCGGAAGACCAAGGGUUCCUGUCCAACGUUAAUCGGGGCAGGGUAAGUCGGCCCCUAAGGCGAGGCCGAAAGGCGUAGUCGAUGGGAAACGGGUUAAUAUUCCCGUACUGCUACUUACUGCGAUGGGGGGACGGAGAAGGCUAGGUGGGCCUGGCGAUGGUUGUCCAGGUUCAAGGGUGUAGGCUGUAAUCUUAGGCAAAUCCGGGAUUACACACGGUCGAGACCCGAUGUCGAGCCACCAAGGUGGUGAAGUCAUUGAUGCCAUGCUUCCGGGAAAAGCCUCUAAGCUUCAGGUAAGUAGGAACCGUACUCCAAACCGACACAGGUGGUCGGGUAGAGAAUACCAAGGCGCUUGAGAGAACUCGGGUGAAGGAACUAGGCAAAAUGGUACCGUAACUUCGGGAGAAGGUACGCUGCCCACGGUGAAGUCCCUUGCGGAUGGAGCUAUGGGCAGUCGCAGAUACCAGGUGGCUGCAACUGUUUAUUAAAAACACAGCACUGUGCAAAAUCGAAAGAUGACGUAUACGGUGUGACGCCUGCCCGGUGCCGGAAGGUUAAUUGAUGUGGUUAUCGCAAGAGAAGCCAUUGAUCGAAGCCCCGGUAAACGGCGGCCGUAACUAUAACGGUCCUAAGGUAGCGAAAUUCCUUGUCGGGUAAGUUCCGACCUGCACGAAUGGCGUAAUGAUGGCCACGCUGUCUCCACCCGAGACUCAGUGAAAUUGAAAUCGCAGUGAAGAUGCUGUGUACCCGCGGCUAGACGGAAAGACCCCGUGAACCUUUACUACAGCUUGGCACUGAACAUUGAGCCUACAUGUGUAGGAUAGGUGGGAGGCUUUGAAACGGCGACGCCAGUUGUCGUGGAGCCAUCCUUGAAAUACCACCCUUGUAUGUUUGAUGUUCUAACUUAGCCCCCUWAUCGGGGGUGAGGACAGUGCCUGGUGGGUAGUUUGACUGGGGCGGUCUCCUCCCAAAGYGUAACGGAGGAGCACGAAGGUGGGCUAAUCACGGUCGGACAUCGUGAGGUUAGUGCAAUGGCAUAAGCCCGCUUAACUGCGAGAGUGACGGCUCGAGCAGGUACGAAAGUAGGUCAUAGUGAUCCGGUGGUUCUGAAUGGAAGGGCCAUCGCUCAACGGAUAAAAGGUACUCCGGGGAUAACAGGCUGAUACCGCCCAAGAGUUCAUAUCGACGGCGGUGUUUGGCACCUCGAUGUCGGCUCAUCACAUCCUGGGGCUGAAGUCGGUCCCAAGGGUAUGGCUGUUCGCCAUUUAAAGUGGUACGCGAGCUGGGUUUAGAACGUCGUGAGACAGUUCGGUCCCUAUCUGCCGUGGGCGUUGGAUGAUUGAGGGGAGCUGCUCCUAGUACGAGAGGACCGGAGUGGACGAACCGCUGGUGUUCGGGUUGUGUCGCCAGACGCAUUGCCCGGUAGCUAAGUUCGGCACAGAUAAGCGCUGAAAGCAUCUAAGCGCGAAGCUGGCCCCGAGAUGAGUCAUCCCUAGAGCUUCGAGCUCUCUAAAGGGUUGUCGUAGACKACGACGUUGAUAGGCAGGGUGUGUAAGCGCUGUGAGGCGUUGAGCUAACCUGUACUAAUUGCCCGUGCGGCUUAACCAUACAACACCCAAG